rnacentral:lncRNA from 1 species
AAAAACCAUCUAUAUAUUUCAUGUCACUUCCUCUCUCAGUCCUCUUUUGCAGCAGAGAGGUGGCUGGCAGCAGCUUGCUGAGUGUCUUGGCAUCUUGGCGUGGCAGCAGCUAUUGUCCUGUUUAGCAACUUCCACAACUCUGGUGCAGUCCCUCAUCACCUCAAGUUUUGACCAUCAGCUUCCUAAUGGGUCUACCUGCCUCAGGUUUCUUAUUACUCCAGGCCAUUCUCCAUUCAGCUGCAAAAGGGAUUUUUCUGAAGUGAAAUACUGCACAAUGCUAAAAACUCCAAAGGUUCUCUCGUAUGUGUAGGAUCAAAUGCAAGAUGUUCUGUUUGCCAUAUAAAUCCCAUUGAAACUUGUCUACCUCCUACUUUUUUGAUCUUAUCACACUUUACUUCCUAC